rnacentral:rRNA from 1 species
GGCGGCAUGCCUUACACAUGCAAGUCGAACGGUAACAGGUUAAGCUGACGAGUGGCGAACGGGUGAGUAAAGUAUCGGAACGUGCCCAGUAGUGGGGGAUAGCCCGGCGAAAGCCGGAUUAAUACCGCAUACGACCUACGGGUGAAAGGGGGGGAUCGCAAGACCUCCCGCUAUUGGAGCGGCCGAUAUCAGAUUAGGUAGUUGGUGGGGUAAAGGCCCACCAAGCCGACGAUCUGUAGCUGGUCUGAGAGGACGACCAGCCACACUGGGACUGAGUCACGGCCCAGACUCCUACGGGAGGCAGCAGUGGGGAAUUUUGGACAAUGGACGAAAGUCUGAUCCAGCCAUGCCGCGUGCGGGAAGAAGGCCUUCGGGUUGUAAACCGCUUUUGUCAGGGAAGAAAUCCUCUGGGCUAAUACCCCGGGGGGAUGACGGUACCUGAAGAAUAAGCACCGGCUAACUACGUGCCAGCAGCCGCGGUAAUACGUAGGGUGCAAGCGUUAAUC